rnacentral:rRNA from 1 species
GAGUUUGAUCAUGGCUCAGAGCGAACGCUGGCGGCAGGCCUAAUACAUGCAAGUCGAGCGCACCUUCGGGUGAGCGGCGGACGGGUGAGUAACGCGUGGGAAUGUGCCCUUUGGUACGGAACAACUGAGGGAAACUUCAGCUAAUACCGUAUGUGCCCUUCGGGGGAAAGAUUUAUCGCCAUUGGAGCAGCCCGCGUUGGAUUAGCUAGUUGGUGGGGUAAAGGCCCACCAAGGCGACGAUCCAUAGCUGGUCUGAGAGGAUGAUCAGCCACACUGGGACUGAGACACGGCCCAGACUCCUACGGGAGGCAGCAGUAGGGAAUCUUGCGCAAUGGGCGAAAGCCUGACGCAGCCAUGCCGCGUGAAUGAUGAAGGUCUUAGGAUUGUAAAAUUCUUUCACCGGGGAAGAUAAUGACGGUACCCGGAGAAGAAGCCCCGGCUAACUUCGUGCCAGCAGCCGCAGUAAC